UACAGAGGGUGCAAGCGUUAAUCGGAAUUACUGGGCGUAAAGAGCGCGCAGGCGGUCGAUCAAGUCGAGUGUGAAAGCCCCCGGCUCAACUGGGGAGGGUCAUUCGAAACUGGUCGACUCGAAGGCAGGAGAGGGUAGUGGAAUUCCCGGUGUAGUGGUGAAAUUCGUAGAUAUUCGCAAGAACACCAGUGGCGAAGGCGGCUCACUGGCCCGAUACGGACGCUGAGGCACGAAAGCGUGGGGAGCAAACAGGG
rnacentral:rRNA from 1 species